UCCCAAGUGGUCAAGUGGUUAGGAUAUCUGGCUUUCAUUCAGAAGGCCCGGUUUCGUUUCCCGGCGUGGGAA